rnacentral:rRNA from 1 species
AUUGAACGCUAGCGGCAUGCUUUACACAUGCAAGUCGAACGGCAGCGCGGACUUCGGUCUGGCGGCGAGUGGCGAACGGGUGAGUAAUGUAUCGGAACGUGCCCAGUAGCGGGGGAUAACUACGCGAAAGCGUAGCUAAUACCGCAUACGCCCUGCGGGGGAAAGCGGGGGAUCGUAAGACCUUGCGCUAUUGGAGCGGCCGAUAUCGGAUUAGCUAGUUGGUGAGGUAACGGCUUACCAAGGCGACGAUCCGUAGCUGGUCUGAGAGGACGACCAGCCACACUGGGACUGAGACACGGCCCAGACUCCUACGGGAGGCAGCAGUGGGGAAUUUUGGACAAUGGGGGCAACCCUGAUCCAGCCAUCCCGCGUGUGCGAUGAAGGCCUUCGGGUUGUAAAGCACUUUUGGUAGGAAAGAAACGUCGUGGGCUAAUACCCCGUGGAACUGACGGUACCUGAAGAAUAAGCACCGGCUAACUACGUG